GUGAGGAAUUUUCCGCAAUGGGCGAAAGCCUGACGGAGCAAUGCCGCGUGAAGGAUGAAGGCCUAUGGGUUGUAAACUUCUUUUCUCAGAAAAGAAUUAUGACGGUAUCUGAGGAAUAAGCAUCGGCUAACUCUGUGCCAGCAGCCGCGGUAAGACAGAGGAUGCAAGUGUUAUCCGGAAUGAUUGGGCGUAAAGCGUCUGUAGGUUGUUUAAAAAGUAUUCUGUCAAAGAUUAGGGCUUAACCCUAGAUAGGCAGAAUAAACUUUUAAGCUAGAGUUUGGUAGAGGCAGAGGGAAUUCCCGGUGGAGCGGUGAAAUGCGUAGAUAUCGGGAGGAACACCAAAGGCGAAGGCACUCUGCUGGGCCAAUACUAACACUGAGAGACGAAAGCGAGGGGAGCAAAUGGGAUUAGAUACCCGAGUAGUCC
rnacentral:rRNA from 1 species